AGUCUGUCUGUCCAAGCAUCUCUUUUCUUUACAGCUCUGAAAUCAGCCACAGCUUCCUCAACUACCUGGAAGACGCCUUCCUAUGAGCAGCAGCCUUCUUUCCAGGGCCUCAAAGUUCCCACUUGUUACUCACUUGUGUUUCACACUCUUUUUCUGUUUUCUCCUCAAGUCUAAGCUCUGAGUGGUUGCGUGCUCUGAACUACAGUAUUUCUUUUGUGAGUCCAAGCAUCUACAAACAGCUUUACUCCAACACAGGUGAGACCUAAGGAAAAAAGAAGAGAAUGUUCCCUCAUCAGUAGAACAAGCUGGAGAAUGAGCCUCACCUCCACGUGUCUGCUUUGCUGUCUGCAGCAUUUGGGUGAGGCAGGUGAUAGCCUGGCCAUUUUCUUUCAGUCUUACUGUAUUCUUGAAAAUAAAAGAAAAAUUCUGACACUAUGGAAGGGAUGAACAUCUCAAAGAGAUUAGGUUUUUUUACUGGGAAAGAAUAGUUAAAUUAUUUUUGGAUUUUUGGAAUAAUACAGGCCCCUUCUGUAAACUUCUUUUUAUCUCCACAAAACAUCAGAAAUUCAUUUCUCUGUAUUUCUAAACAUUCCACUUCAUCUGUGACUCUGAUGUUAGUUUUAUGUAAGUAAAUUUAUAACGCAGUAGUGGAGUGAAGAAGUGAAGAUUUUCUUUUCCUCACUUCUACAAGGGUGAUCCCAGUUUCAAACCUCAGUAAAUAUUUGUCUGCUCUUAGUUCAUACAAUCAAAACAUAUGUUCAGAAUGAUUAAGAUGUGAUUGAUUUAGUAAAAAGCUAGCUAAAAUUUUUUGCAGCAAGCCUGUAAGUUACUGAGAACCUGUGACUUCAUUAUUUAAUGCUCCAACAACUGAGAGGAGUGUUUUACAGUAUUUUUAUAACCUCAUGUAGACUUGCUUAGUGAUACCAUUGACUUCUCGCAAAGCUCUUUAGGCGUAUAUGAGCCUUUAGCAUGUAAUAAAAUGAAACUAAUUCCUUCACUGAUUUUAUUUGUUCUUUUUCUUUCCUUGUUCUCUCCUUCAUUCUUUCGUGGGUUUUUUUUGUUUUUCUAUAGAAGUUUUCAUACUCGGCAUCUUAGAUUUUUUUUUGGUUCCAGUUUUCAGUCUCAGUUGGGAGGGCAUUUCCAACAGGAUUACUGAAAGAAAGAAUAGUAGGAAAUCUUAAUCAACUUAACCAUACUAUUUUUGUGCUAAUGAAGUAGCUGGAAUGACAGGAGGAACUCAGCAGGAAGAGAACAAUAGCAUGUUUACGCAAUACUGAAGUUUGGAAUGCUAUGCAGUGGAAAUGAGAAGACAGGUCUUCUGUUCUGGAAGAAUAUUUGCAAUAAAAUAACAACCUAAAGAAGGAAGUCAUAUCUCAAGUAACGGUACAUGAUAUCCUGUGUGAAUAAGGAAAUUAUUUGAAGCACUGCAUGAUAAACUUGGCCUUUUAUGUGCAGUCUUCAGCAUCCGCUGUUGACUAUUACUC